rnacentral:rRNA from 1 species
UACGUAGGGUGCAAGCGUUGUCCGGAAUUAUUGGGCGUAAAGAGCUCGUAGGUGGUCUGUCGCGUCGGCUGUGAAAUCCCGAGGCUCAACCUCGGGCCUGCAGUGGGUACGGGCAGACUGGAGUGCGGUAGGGGAGAAUGGAAUUCCUGGUGUAGCGGUGGAAUGCGCAGAUAUCAGGAGGAACACCGAUGGCGAAGGCAGUUCUCUGGGCCGUAACUGACGCUGAGGAGCGAAAGCGUGGGGAGCGAACAGG